CCUUAGAGUUUGAUCCUGGCUCAGAUUGAACGCUGGCGGCAGGCCUAACACAUGCAAGUCGAGCGGAAGAAAGAAGCUUGCUCCUGGAUUGAGCGGCGGACGGGUGAGUAAUGCCUAGGAAUCUGCCUGGUAGUGGGGGAAAACGUUUGGAAAGGAACGCUAAUACCGCAUACGUCUUACGGGAGAAAGCAGGGGACCUUCGGGCCUUGCGCUAUCAGAUGAGCCUAGGUGGGAUUAGUUAGUUGGUGAGGUAAUGGCUCACCAAGGCGACGAUCCGUAACUGGUUUGAGAGGAUGAUCAGUCACACUGGAAUUGAGACACGGUCCAGACUCCUACGGGAGGCAGCAGUGGGGAAUAUUGGCCAAUGGGCGAAAGCCUGAUCCAGCCAUGCGGCGUGUGUGAAGAAGGUUUUCGGAUUGUAAAGCACUUUAAGUUGGGAGGAAGGGUUGUAGAUUAAUACUGUGCAACUUUGACGUUACCGACAGAAUAAGCCCCGGCUAACUAUGUGCCAGCAGCCGCGGUAAUACAGAGGGUGCAAGCGUUAUUCGGAAUUACUGGGCGUAAAGCGCGCGUAGGUGGUUUGUUAAGUUGGAUGUGAAAUCCCCGGGCUCAACCUGGGAACUGCAUUCAAAACUGUCGAACUAGAGUAUGGUAGAGGGUGGUGGAAUUUCCUGUGUAGCGGUGAAAUGCGUAGAUAUAGGAAGGAACACCAGUGGGAAGGCGACCAUCCGGACUGAUACGACACGAGGUGGAAAGCUGAGCACCC
rnacentral:rRNA from 1 species